CCUACGGGGGGCUGCAGUAAGGAAUAUUGGUCAAUGGACGAAAGUCUGAACCAGCCAUGCCGCGUGAAGGAUGAAGGUCCUCUGGAUUGUAAACUUCUUUUAUCUGGGACGAAAAAAGGGAAUUCUUUCUUACUUGACGGUACCAGAAGAAUAAGCACCGGCUAACUCCGUGCCAGCAGCCGCGGUAAUACGGAGGGUGCAAGCGUUAUCCGGAUUCACGGGUGCGUAGGUGUGCAUAGGUGUGCGUGUUGAAAUCUCCGGGCUUAACUCGGAAACUGCCAUUGAUACUAUCUGUCUUGAAUACUGUGGAGGUAAGCGGAAUAUGUCAUGUAGCGGUGAAAUGCUUAGAUAUGACAUAGAACACCGAUUGCGAAGGCAGCUUACUACGGAGUCAUUGACACUGAGGCACGAAAGCGUGGGGAUCAAACAGGAUUAGAUACCCGAGUAGUC
rnacentral:rRNA from 1 species